UCUUCCGUAGUAUAGUGGUCAGUAUGUGAGCUUGUCAAUCAACAAACGCUCGAGACCCGGGUUCAAUUCCCGGCGGGAGAG